rnacentral:tRNA from 1 species
GGGGUUAUAGCUCAGCUGGGAGAGCGCUUGGAUGGCAUCCAAGAGGCCAGGGGUUCGAGCCCCCUUAGCUCCACCA